GAUGAACGCUAGCGAUAGGCUUAACACAUGCAAGUCGAGGGGCAGCAUAAGAGUAGCAAUACUUCGGUGGCGACCGGAGCUCGGGUGAGUAACACGUAUGCAACCUGCACAUAACUGGGGGAUAACCCGUCGAAGGUCGGCCUAAUACCGCAUGACGACGAUGAUCCGCAUGGUGCUUCGUCUAAAGAUUCAUCGGUUAUGGAUGGGCAUGCGUUCCAUUAGAUUGUUGGUAGGGUAACGGCCUACCAAGUCUUCGAUGGAUAGGGUUUCUGAGAGGAAGGUCCCCCACACUGGUACUGAGACACGGACCAGACUCCUACGGGAGGCAGCAGUGAGGAAUAUUGGUCAAUGGGCGAGAGCCUGAACCAGCCAAAUCGCGUGAAGGAUGAAGGUAUUAUGUAUUGUAAGCUUCUUUUGUCAGGGAAUAAAGUGCGGCACGUGUGCUGUUUUGUAUGUACCUGAAGAAUAAGGAUCGGCUAACUCCGUGCCAGCCGCCGCCGUAAGAC
rnacentral:rRNA from 1 species